rnacentral:rRNA from 1 species
GUAGGUGGCAAGCGUUGUCCGGAAUUAUUGGGGCGUAAAGCGCGCGCAGGCGGUUCUUUAAGUCUGAUGUGAAAGCCCACGGCUCAACCGUGGAGGUCAUUGGAAACUGGAGAACUUGAGUACAGAAGAGGAAAGCGGAAUUCCACGUGUAGCGGUGAAAUGCGUAGAGAUGUGGAGGAACACCAGUGGCGAAGGCGGCUUUCUGGUCUGUAACUGACGCUGAGGCGCGAAAGCGUGGGGAGCAAACAGGAUUAGAUACCCUGGUAGUCCACGCCGUAAACGAUGAGUGCUAAGUGUUAGGGGGUUUCCGCCCCUUAGUGCUGCAGCUAACGCAUUAAGCACUCCGCCUGGGGAGUACGGCCGCAAAGGCUG